CCUACGGGAGGCUGCAGUGAGGAAUAUUGGUCAAUGGGCGAGAGCCUGAACCAGCCAAGUCGCGUGAAGGAUGACGGCCCUACGGGUUGUAAACUUCUUUUGUCAGGGAGCAAUUGAGUCCACGUGUGGGCUUAGCGAGAGUCCCUGAAGAAAAAGCAUCGGCUAACCCCGUGCCAGCAGCCGCGGUAAUACGUAGGAUGCGAGCGUUAUCCGGAUUUAUUGGGUUUAAAGGGUGGGUAGCCGGAAUAUUAAGUCAGCGGUAAAAAUUCGGGGCCCAACCCCGUCGUGCCGUUGAAACUGAUGUUCUUGAGUGGGCGAGAAGUAUGCGGAAUGCGUGGUGUAGCGGUGAAAUGCAUAGAUAUCACGCAGAACUCCGAUUGCGAAGGCAGCAUACCGGCGCCACACUGACGCUGAAGCACGAAAGCGUGGGUAUCGAACAGGAUUAGAUACCCGGGUAGUC
rnacentral:rRNA from 1 species